UUCCAGACUCCUACGGGAGGCAGCAGUGGGGAAUAUUGCACAAUGGGGGAAACCCUGAUGCAGCGACGCCGCGUGAGUGAGGAAGUAUUUCGGUAUGUAAAGCUCUAUCAGCAGGGAAGAAAAUGACGGUACCUGACUAAGAAGCCCCGGCUAACUACGUGCCAGCAGCCGCGGUAAUACGUAGGUGGCAAGCGUUAUCCGGAUUUACUGGGUGUAAAGGGGGCGCAGACGGCAGCGCAAGCCAGGAGUGAAAGCCCGGGGCCCAACCCCGGGACUGCUCUUGGAACUGCGCGGCUGGAGUGCGGGAGGGGCAGGCGGAAUUCCUGGUGUAGCGGUGAAAUGCGUAGAUAUCAGGAGGAACACCGGUGGCGAAGGCGGCCUGCUGGACUGCGACUGACGUUGAGGCCCGAAAGCGUGGGGAGCAAACAGGAUUAGAUACCCCAGUAU
rnacentral:rRNA from 1 species